rnacentral:rRNA from 1 species
GCCAACGGCCAUACCACGUUGAACACACCAGUUCUCGUCUGAUCACUGAAGUUAAGCAACGUCGGGCCCGGUUAGUACUUGGAUGGGUGACCGCCUGGGAACCCCGGGUGCUGUUGGUU